UGUAGUGUUUUAUUUUUUAUGGG
rnacentral:miRNA from 1 species